GGUUCGCGAGCGGAGUUGAAGGGGGCAAACUUUGAAGUCCAGAUGCCCGCGGGGCCGCGCGGCAGAGCGCGGCUGCUCCUCCCGCAGGCACCUGCCGCCCCGCUGCCCCCGGCGCUGCCGCCCUCCGGCCCCGCAGCCGGCGGCCGCGGCUAGGGCGGGCGGGCGCGCCCCCAUGCGGGUCCCGGGCUGCUGGGGCGCGCCGGCAGGCGGGAGCCGGGCGGCGGCCGGGCGGUGCUGCUCUCCCGCCGCCUGAGCGGGCGCGGCGCGGGGUGCCGGGAGCCAUGGGCUAUUGCAGCGGCCGCUGCACGCUGGUGGCGGUGUGCGGCGCGCAGCUGGUUUCUGUGCUCGAGAGGCAGAUAUUUGACUUCCUUGGUUAUCAGUGGGCACCCAUUCUGGCAAAUUUUAUACACAUUAUUAUAGUCAUACUUGGCUUAUUUGGAACCAUCCAAUAUAGACCUCGUUACAUAACAGGAUAUGCUGUCUGGCUGAUCCUUUGGGUUACAUGGAACGUGUUUGUUAUCUGCUUCUAUUUGGAGGCUGGAGACCUAUCAAAGGAGACAGAUCUCAUUCUGACCUUUAAUAUUUCAAUGCAUCGUUCUUGGUGGAUGGAAAAUGGGCCGGGCUGCACCGUGACCUCAGUAACUCCAGCCCCAGACUGGGCACCAGAGGAUCAUCGUUAUAUCACUGUCUCGGGGUGUUUUCUUGAAUAUCAGUACAUAGAAGUGGCUCACAGUUCUCUUCAGAUCUUCCUUGCACUGGCGGGCUUCAUCUAUGCCUGUUAUGUUGUGAAAUGUAUUACUGAAGAAGAGGACAGCUUUGAUUUCAUAGGUGGAUUUGACUCUUACGGCUAUCAAGGUCCACAGAAGACAUCUCAUUUACAGCUACAGCCCAUGUAUAUUGCCAACAGCGUGCUCUAUUCUGCACAAGCCAAGAAGCCUAGACAGUCCCUUCAAAACGAAUACGCUUUUUAAACAGAAUGGGACAGAACUGAAGCUCAUAUACCUCCUUGCAGUGUGGCCACAGCUCAUGUACUAGAAAGCAGCUUCCUGGCAUUCUGUGUGGGAGAAGGCAGUGCUCAUUUCCAGAUCAUAGGACAAGAACACAAUAAGAUGGUGGAAAACAAUUGUCAAGAGAAAAUUCUGCUCUUGGGAGGUGACCGAGGAAGGUCAAAGUGAAUGCAGUCACUACUCAAGGUGGGCUGGAGGACCUCUCAAAGAAACUGUUUCAGGAUGGCCUCUCUUUCUUCAAAGAGCAAAAAAUUAUUCAGUUUUUGUGCUAAAAAUAAAAAAAGCUGAUUGAACAGAAGACGAAAAACAGCAAACACCUUUAGCUCCUCUUUCUAACAGGUACUAAGGGAGAUGCCCCGGACCCCCACCUUGGACCUCCUGCCUCCCAGCACCAGAGGGUCAGAGCAGAGGCCAGCAUGGCCCAUCUGGAUUAAGACAUGAACCCAGCCCAUUCGGUGCUUUCGGAGCCCACUCCACACUCCUGACCAUGUUGAGUCUCCUUAGUCAACAGAACAGUAAAAAUACCAGGAUGACCCUGAAGCAGAAAUCAAUAAACAGCGCAUUGUUUGCCCUGAAGGCUGUACAGUUCAUACUUGCCUUAACCCUACUGCAUUGCACAUCAGAGAAACUUCGUGCAAGCUUUCUGAAGUAACGUCCUUUAGGCUCAAAAUGUUGCUGUUAAUUCUGAACGAUUUCUAAGUCAGUGGUUUUCUCCUGGUUGGUUUUUUGUUUGGUUUUUUUUUGUUUGUUUUCAUGUCAGGGAAUAAGGCUCUGUUGCUCCACUGCUCCAGAGCAACCAAGUAGAAAACUGCCAGCUGUCUGAGAAGUGCAUUACUUUUGAGGCUCUACAGUGGUCAAGAAACAGCCAGUUUAUAAUGGUUAAUAAAAAAAAGAGACCAUUUGGGGGUCCGGGUGGGGAGAGGGGUAACAUUAAUAAUUGAACCUACUGGAAAUAAGCAGCAGAAACAGUGCUUCUUAAUCCCGCUGUUUUUAUUUAUCGCACUGUAGGUGCUUUUAUAGCUAUCUCUAAAUGUCUUUUACUAACUACAGAGACAUCUGCAGAUUUCUAUCAACAAAGGCCAACUGAAUAUGUACUAGCUAUGUUUACUCUUUUAUAUCUAAUUUCAACUGAAAAUUCUCUGUGAGCUUUCUUUUUUUCUAAUUGCACCAUAAGGGAUCUAUAUAUUUUAUUUUUUUGUUUCAGUUGGGGAGGGUGGGGAGGGACUAGUUGAGUUGAAGACAUAUUGGAGAACUUUUUGUGGUAUAUUUGGGGGAUCUGUUGUGUGUUAGAAUGUGUAUUUUACCUUCCUGUAUUCUUGUGGCUGAAAAAAACUGUGCUGUUACGUAGUUGGCAACAAGAUGCCUUUGGGAAUUUUGCUAGUAGGUCAAUGUGUAUAUGAAAUACUCUGAACUCCUAGGAACGUAUGUUUUGUUCUACAUCUGAUCGUAUUUUCAAGCAUUUAGGUGGCUUUCAUUAGGAAAAACCUAAUAUUUUGCUCAGGCUUUUCAGAAACUUGGAUUGUCAUUGUUUCUUUGCUCAGACCUUGCAUAGGCAAACACACGCACCUAUCACACCUGAGGUGACCACAUAGCUUUUGAGGGCAAGAAGGAUGGUCAAUGCUUGGAAAGGCUUGAGUUGCCCCAAGCAUCUCUCUUUUCCUUAUUGGCCAAAACCUCACACCUGCACAGCUCCCACGGCCUGUGCACUCGCGCCACUCGUCCAUCCCUGUACAAACCAGUGCCCUUUGCUGUGUCUGCAUGGAUGUACAGUGUCACAAACAACAGCUCUGGACAAUGACAGAGGAAGAGGCAUUUAUCAGUGAAAAUAAGAUAUGGGAUAUGUCCAGGAACUAUACGUACAUUUAUUGAGAUUUUUAUAUGCAUAUAUAUAUAUAUGUAAGAGUUUGUGUGUAUGUCUAUGUUUAUAAAAUACACAGGAACAACUAUUGGCAGGGGCUGCAUAACGCAGGAAGAAUUUGAUGAGCAGGGUCAAGGACUCCAGUCUCAGAUCCUCCUAGGGGUUUCCUGCAUGAAUUAAGCACGUCUCCUAGGCCUCAUCCUGAAAGCCAGUCAUUGCUGAUUUAUAUCUCAAAUUUAAAUUUAAAUUUUCAGACUUGGGUAUCUGAAAUUCUAAGUUCAUUCAGGGUAGAGCUGCUUUGCACUCCCUGGAAAAUCAUGCAAAUUUCAAGCAUCAGGCUGAAAUUUCCCAUAACUUGAAAAUUUUCAAAAAAUUUGACUUUUAUGUAGUACUAAAUAUAGCAGUUGUAUAUUAUGAAACACAAUGCAGAGGUUUAACUGGAAUGAAAAUAUCACAACAGGGUAUUAUACCUUUCCCUGUAUAACAGUUAAUCAAAAUCAUAUUUCUAUAAAAAUCAUUUUUAACAUGAAAAGAAACCAGUUUAGGCACCUAAGCAGUGAUCUAACUUUCAGAAUAUAAUUUUUCAUAUCUUACAGUGAUUUUGCACAGAACAGUGACUACUGGUAGUUAGCAAUUUUAGAAGUCAGGCAAUUUAAUGAAGGGUCUAUGUGUAGUUUUUAGGUCUGAUUUUAACUUAGAAAAUUUUGGCCUUAAUUUCUCUCGUCUUAGUCUUCCCAUCUAUAAAACGGGACUAAUAAGUGCCUCACAGGUUUUUUUGUGAGGUCUGAAUUGUUGAUGUUUGCAAAGUGCUUAGGAGAUAGGAAGCACAUCUGACUAUUAAGGAUUACAACAUAAAUGCCUAUUCACAUAUUACAUACAGAGUAGAAAUCCAGUCAAACACACAGUAUACAUAUAUAUAUAUGUACAUGCAUACCUAUAUGAAGUUGGUAUUCAUCACCCUGCUUAAGUUGCAGUUCAAGCACCACCAUUAAAAAGAAAUUAUGACUGUUGACUACUAAACUAAACGAUUAGUGAACAGAUCUCUUCUGGAAGCAGUUUAGAGCACAGUGAUGUGAGAAUAUCUGGAUGACAUUUUUGAUUUGUACAGCUGUAUCCUCCUCAAAAUCCAGUAAAGAAUGUUAUUUUUCUAGGCUGGGCUUUUGUUAUGAACUGAAAUAUUCAGAAGGUAAGAGAUACAAUCCAAAUGUGUCUUUUUUUUUUUCUUUUCUUUUUGACAUUUGUUAAUUCUGAAUGUAUUUUUAACAAAAGUGAUUUUUUGACUUACUAGUGUAAUUUGCAUUUAAAAAAAAUAAAUGGAAAAAAUAUA